rnacentral:tRNA from 1 species
GGGGAGUUAUUCCGUAGGGGUAGCGGGGGAGACUGUAAAUCUCCUGCCUUCGGGCUCGGGUGGUUCAACUCCAUCACUCCCCACCA